rnacentral:lncRNA from 1 species
AAUGUUCACUGAUCAUAUAUUCUGUCUCUGCUCUAAACUCUAUCAGUUUUAAGUCAACUUCUAGUAUUAGAAAAUGUUAGUAGUUUUAAAUUAUUUUUCUUGACUUUUUAUACCAUUUAACAGAAACCCCAUCAAAUACAAGCUACUGCUAGUUUACAGAACCCACAACUAAAUUCAAAUGAAUUAUUUUCAUGUGUUUUGUAUAUAUUUCUUGCUUAGAUUCUCUGGUGGUCACCUUGCAUGACUUGAAUGUCUUUUAAAGUUAUGAAUGGCUCAUCUUAAUUUAUUUGAAACCCUGUCAUGUCUGGUUAUAUUUCUUCAUUCCUACCUCUUAACUUACACGAGUACUGUUUAUAAAUUUUCUAAUUUUGUAUUCUUAUUUGUUCUUUAUUUUAAAAGGACAAAAUUUAAUUUAUUCAUACACCAUUUCAUUUCUUUGUUAUAGUUUAUAGGUUUAUAGGUGUUUUUUUUUUUUAUUUACUUGUCAGAUUAAGGUUUGAAUAUACAAGCAUUUUUUCUUCUAGCUUCAUUGUGUAGACACCAUUUGAUGAAUUUUCCAUCUGGUGCAUCAUAAUGAAUCAUCUUUAUAGAUGGUAAGAAUGGGGUUUCAUAUAUAAUCAUUAUUGUAAAAUUCAUGGUAAAAUAAAAUUAUAGACAAUUUUAUCCUUUUGAUGCUAAAUAUAGCUCAAAAACCAAUCUAACAAUUGAUAAUAAAAUUUAAACUAAGGGUACUGAAAAUUGGGCAUUUGACCCUUGACAAUAACCAUAAAUUCCUCCUACCCACUUCUAAAAAUGAUAUUAGUAAUAUAUCAUUAGUAUUUAUAUCAGCUGUUAUGGUUACUUAAUUUUCAUAAUUUUAACAUAUGGCAGUUGAAUUACAUUUACUGUUUCAAUUAUAAAUCAUUAGUUUUAAAGGGCAUUGAGAUUAUUGUAGUAUAAAUACUUUCUUAAGUGCCAACAAAUAUCAAUAUUUUUCCAGGCUAAUUUUUCAUUCUUGAAAAUAAUAAUAAAGAGUAUUUAUGGAAGAUUUUAACAUUUAUGGAUUUCAAAUAGACCAAGGAAUUAGUACUGGUAAUUGUAACUUAUCCAUGUAUGUUUUUAAGGUUUUGAACUGGUAUGCUGAUUAAUCUUAAUCAUAAAUACCUGCUCUACUACAUACUGCAAAAGUACAAUGUUUUGGUUAUUUUUGCAAGUACAAAAGCUAAAAGAAUAAUACCCUUGACAAACUGUAUGCAUAGAUAGGAUACAUAAGAUAAAAUAGCAUUGUACAUUGUUUUUUUAAUUGUAGAAAGGUGUAGUCUUUCAAGAUUAUUGUUUGGAUUUGUUUAAAUUCCAAUUUAAAGGUUGGAGCUUUUUCCAUGUAGUAUGAAAACUGUAGACCAGUUUAAUAUUUUGUUCGAUUUAAUGUAGUUCAAUGCUGAAUUUCAAUUUUAUUUGAUGCAUUUCCAGUGGGAAGGGUCUCUUAGUAUUUGUAGACAUAAUUUAUAGGACUUAUUUUAUUACGAAGAAAAUCCAUGACACUUUUCAGAAAGUUUAUUUGUUUUUUGGGGGGUUAAAUGCAUCUCUUUUUACACUACCUCUAUUUCAUGGCUGUCAGUUUCAUAUUGUUAACUUUUUGAUGGUUUGUCAAAAAACAGAAGAGAACAAAAUGACGUGUGAUUGAAUUUGUUAUUAAAUUUAACGUAUCUUGCCAUUUUACCAAAUCACCAGAUGAAGAAUUCAACACCUUCUAAAGUGUUGAUUGUUAGUUGUAAGCUACUUUGAUUAUACAUGUAUAGCUUAACCCACCGUCUAGGAGAAGAAUAUCUUUUUUCUCAGUAUUAUUUUUUUAGGUUGUAGAGAAAGUCGUAUCAUAUCGUAUCAUAUCAAACUCUUAUUUAAGACUGGAGUGAUUAUUAAGCUUGAUACACCAUUUUAGAAUCUAAACAUCAGUCAAUGUUUUUUUUUUAUUAUCAAACUCUUAUUUGUAAACAAAAAUAAAACUAGCAUUAACAAAUAUGUAACAGUGCGCAAUAUACAUCCAGCAUCAUUUGUUUAGUUAGGCAUUCAUAUUAGACAUUUCUGGUAAACAUACAAUUUUUGGGAUUUAAACAGGUGUUUCACUGUAUUUCUAAUUUAAGAACCAUGCUUUUGCUAUUUACAACAUAUACUGCUAUAAAUUAUUUAUUUUUAAUAUUUUUACCAACUUAAAUUUAUUUCAGAUCUUCUGAAUAAAAUCCUAUUCCUUUUUAUGUUUAUGAAGUAUGAAUGUACCUCUUGUAUAUAUGUAAUUUAUAUCAAACUCAUAAUGCUCAUUAAUUCCUUAGAACAGUUUAUGUAAUUGUUUUCAUUGUUAUUGAUUGUGAUACAAUAUCAUAUAUUAUUUACAUAUUUAUCCUAAUACUGUUGAAUAUCCUGUAUUAUAUUUGAUUGUGAUACAUUAUCAUACAAUAUUUACCCAUAUUUUGUUGAAUAUCAUUAUAUUUUAUGUUUUUUAAUACUGGAAUUUUGACAAUAAUUUAGUAAAAU